AAUGGAUCAGAGGUCUCAGGAUGCAGAGCCAUUGCCAAUUUUAUUUGUUGUUUGGACAUCUAUAUCCUUCCUCUGUGAAUACAGAAAGCAGUAUUUUGCAUAAAGCCAGCUUACAUCACUGCUAGUUGAAGUCAGAGAAGGCACUAACCCUCUUAGCCGAAAGAACCUAAAGUGAAGAAAGGAAUUCCCCCUCCCUUGGUUUUCAACAAUUGUUCCUUUCAUUCCAAGUGCAGCUGGGAGUAGGGAAACUACAGGCAAUGGGAAUGUCAGAACUGGUGCAAUACAAGAACUCAUAGGCUAUACAUAUACAGCUGUAUUUUUUAAUGAUUUCUUAUAGCUGCCACACCAACAGAAAACACGUUCUUUACCAAUUAUAAGAUUUUUCAGUAAAUAAUGCUCCAAACAUUAUUAUAUUUUUGCAGGUUAAAUAGUCUAUAGAUAUGAUGAUGGGGAAAAAAACCCUAACACAUACAAGCAGUCAAGGAUCAUAUGGAUGCCUGUGAAAAGUGUUAUGAUUGUGGUUGAAAGGGGAAAUCUGCAGAAAUCAGGAGUCAGAAACCAGAAACAGCUGCUGGCUGAUCUUCAGAGUGCAGUCCUGAAAUGCCCUUAUUAGGUGAAAGGAAGAUGCUAGCUCACAUUGGAUUAGGAAAAGCCAGGAGAGAUCAAACUACUCCUAUUGUUGCUCAUCGGCUUUCCACCGCUCAGACUGCAGAUGUAAUAGUGGGCAUUGUGGAUGGCGCAGUGGUUGAAAUGGGAACACACACAGAGUUGAUGGAGAAAAAGGAGCCGUAUUAUUCACUUGCAACCUCACAGUUUGAAUAAGUGAUACUAGAGGAAAUAAUAAGCAUAGAAGAUCCUAAGGAUGCAUUGAACACCAACAGCUUGAAACCAAAUACAGCAAAUAGGAAAUCAUGCUCCAUAAUGAGAAGAUGAAGGAUCAGCCCUUCAAAAGGCGAUGAUUUACACUGGCUGAGUAGGUGCAAAAGUCUCACUGAAUUUCAGAAUAGCUAGCAUGAAGAGGAUAAACAUUUGUGAAACAGUGGAGCUGCAGAAUCUCCAUCCCUGGGGUCAGUGAAAAGUCAAGCAGAGAAGCCCCAAGCAACUGGCUCUGAGCACAGGUUGGAUUGGAUGACCUCUGGAGACCCCAUUCUAACUGAUGAGUUUCUGUGAAUCUGUGAUGCUAAUGAUAGCUCCUGCACAUCCACUUUCAUACUGACACCACUUCUUCAGAAGAAUGCAUCAAAGACUAUUUCUGUAGCAGUUAGGAGACCAAUUUUCUUUUUCUAUAAUAAAAUUAGUGUCAUUGAUUCAAUACAGUUAAGGUGACUUUGGUUGCUGCCUGUGGCUCCAGAAAAAUACUAUGGAAUGGUUCAGAUCUGUUUCCUCACUCUCACCAGCCACCUUGUUCUUUGCUAUUUCAGAAUUCUUCUGUUUUAUUCUUACUGUACGUGCUAAAGAAAACAUCUGGAUGAGUUUUCCUUAAAAAAAAAAUUGGAAACAACCGCUAUUUCAUUGUUUUAAUUUUUUAUUUCUGUUUUAUAGGAAUCUCUGUCCCAAAUUUAUUGCCUGAAGAUACUGAAAUUAAACAAGCAUGAAUGGUCAUUUAUUUGGCUGUGAGCACUUGCCAUAGUUUGAAGAGUGCUUGGUCCCUUAUUUUCCAUCAUGCUUGCUGAAACUAACGAUAAGCAAUGAAGUGAUAUUUCCCCCCCAUAA